rnacentral:rRNA from 1 species
GACGAACCGUGCGAACGUUAUUCGGAAUCACUGGGCUUAAAGCGCGUGUAGGCGGGCGAGCACGUCGGUUGCUGAAAUCCCCCGGCUCAACCGGGGAACGGGCACCGAUACGGCUAGCCUAGAGGGGAGUAGGGGGACCUGGAACUUCCGGUGGAGCGGUGAAAUGCGUUGAGAUCGGAAGGAACGCCCGUGGCGAAAGCGAGGUCCUGGGCUCCUGCUGACGCUGAGACGCGAAAGCCAGGGGAGCGAACGGGAUUAGAUACCCCGGUAGUCCUGGCCGUAAACGAUGGGCACUGGGUAGGGGGCUCGCCGAUGGGCUCCCUGCCGUAGGGAAACCGUGAAGUGCCCCGCCUGGGGAGUAUGGUCGCAAGGCUGAA